AGAGGCACCUGGAGCUCAGUGACUCUCCUGUCUCAGAACAAACACAAACGCUGCAGUGAUUGACACUGAGCCACAGGAGAUGCAUGCUGAAAAACCUUGACAAUGGCAAAUGCGGCGUUCAGCAUUCAGGCAGAUGUAGAAAGUUUGCUGAAGUAACUUGAUGCGGUGGGGUAAAAGGUGGAUAUCCCACAAUGCUGCCGCCCGCCACCUCCCAUUGUCUUGAUAGGGGAGCAAGAGAUGUACAGCGGCCUCAAAUGGAGGUGGCAUCUGGUGCCCAAUUUGUCAUGCCUGAAUUACCCAGGAGCUGAUAAAGGCUGAAGUUUUAAUAAAAGUUGGGAGCAGCUGAUAGCAGGGUGAAGGACACUGAUGAAGUGUCUGGGGGCCUAUUUCUAGCUGGAGAUAAGAACCUACAGAGAGAGGUGGGUCGAGGGUCUAGCGCAGUGUGAUAAUGCGCUGAUGCCGAGGAAAAAAUAAAAAGUGCCGUUGAAAUGCAACGCAGCACACAUAAUGGAAAAAAUAAUAAAUAAGCAAAUAAAUAAUGAUGAUGAUCUAAACGAGGAGAAGCCAGGGUGGAGGCUGUGGAGUCCUGAAGCGUCUCUGCCUGUAAUUUGGCCACCUGCCAGCAGCCAUUGCUCACCCUCAGCUGCGACGGCAAGCUCCAGAUGUGCCAACGGCACGUUUUGGAUUUUGCCAGCUGACUGCACCGUUUGAUAGCCCGCUCUCUGGAUGCCCAUCACCGGCCGCAGAGAUAGAAUUAAAUGAUGAUGAUCUUCCCACAAGUUGGGUGAGGAAACAACGCAUAUAAAUCUUGAUUUCAUCUCAGCGUGAGAAGUCUUUAUCCAUCAUCACUCUUAAUGAACAAGUCAUUAGCCGCGAUGAAUGGCGCUCUGGGCUCCGGCUCGCCACUGCUGCUUUUGUUUGCAGCUUUCGGGGGCAACUUCCUGUGCCCUUUAAGAGGGUCAAACUCAUUUCUCCAGAUGUGGGGUAACCUCUCUGCUCCCGGGGGCGGCAGCACACCCGUGCGCUAAACAGGGCCGGGAAAAAUGAGGCUACGCCGCGGGUCUCCCAGCUUUCGCCCCAUUGUCUGCUCCUCGGCGAGCCGCCGCAUGCCCCGUCAUCCUGAGAAGCAUAUUAGCCAACUCGGUGGCUGCCUAUUAUGGUAAUCGUGUGUGCACAACUCUCCACUUGAUGCGAGCUCGCUGUGUAAACAGGGAAAAAGGCUUUUUGUUGUUGUACUGUAAUAGAAAUACGCUGGGGAGAAGCGAAUCCAUGCCGCGCUGUGUGAUUCUAAUAUAUACUGUACCUCCAACACCGCGGCUGGAUUUCUUCUACAUCUGCAAACUUGAUUAGUGUUUUAUCUAAACUAAUAAACCCCGUUUCCCAUGAAUGAGCCGUUCCCUUCCUCGGAGCCUUCGUUUUUAUUUACAGUCGCCGUACUAAAAGCAUUGUUAAAGAAUUUAACAGUGCACCGUUUACCCCGAGGCUACGACAAUCUAAACCACCAACAUAAAAGUUGGAUGAAACCGUUGUGAUCUUCUUCUCCUCCCUCCUCCUCUGAAGUACAAGGGGGCGCUUGAAAUAUGAAACGCGGCGAGCAUCAAUCCAACAGUUACGGCGGCGAACGCGACAAGAUAAAGGUUGACACGAGAUAAUUGAAAAUAUCUGGCGCUAAUACGCCAGAGUCGCUGUUUGUAUUUGAACAUAAAGGAGGAGAGUGGCAUGUGACUUUCCUUGUUAGUGACAGCUGCCAUGUUCCCCAGUCUGCAGGGACGCACUGUACCGCAGGAUUCGUCUGACUCGUACAGUGUGUGUGAAGUUCCCCAAAUCCCCCCGAGACACAUCUUUACAUGUCUGAUGAUUUUCCUGAAGAGAGGUCCCAGUUAAAUAUUGUCAGAAGUUUGGCACUUUGAAUUCCCUAAACGUUCAAGUCCCACAAAUAACACAGAGACCAAACACAUGGCGAACGCUGCUGUUUUGCCCAUGGGAUCGUUUCUGCUCCUUUAAGACGUUAUAAUUUUAGUUUGUAACGGCAACGCGGCCCAUGACGAAUGCUACCACUGCACUGUGGUUUUCUAGUGAUCAGUCUAAUGCUUCAGUUGAUGAAAUAGAAAUUUACUGAUGUUGUGGAUACGCACCAUAUUUAUCUCUGUUUCCAGUUUCAACACGCGCUCAGUAUAGGGGCAGAAGUGAAAUACCCAUUACUGCAUGUGUCAGUGUCAUAAACAAUGGCGUGGACUCCUCGCAAGAAGGCAGGGUGGUAAUGGAGGCAGUGCAUCAAUGUUCAGCACAAGGUCUGCAAUUCACACCAGGAGAACACUCACCUGAGCAUCAGGAAUGCUGGGAGGAGACGGCAUUAGCGGCAGCAGAUGUGCAGAAGAGGAGCGGCUUGUAAAGCCAGCUCUGUACACGAACACCCCAAAGAGACCGGAGGGAAGGCUUGUAAACACCUCUAGUGGUAACCUGCCGAGUGGAGGGACAUUCAGGAGAAACCUCGCACUGGAUAAAGUUUAGCUUAUUUUUUUGCAGAUAUGAAAAAAAUGAAGAAUAAGGGAACUAGAAGACAGAUGCAUCAAUGCAUCAUAUGGAUCUCUGAAACCUUGUCUGCAUCCUGACUGCAACCACAAAGCACUGUUUGAAUCACCGUGUUGAUCACAUGGUGUCAAACAAAAUGGAGGUGAGCUCUUGUCCUCAGCCGUCUGUAGUGGAGAUUUACUCUUAUCUGAAAAAUAAAUACAGUAUGAUAAAGAUACUAUAAAGAUACUAAAGGUCUAUCAUCAACAGCCAGAAACUUAACAACAGCUCCAAUUAUGAACUGCUGUGAAAGUCUUUAACUCUUUAGUGGCUGACGUGAACUAAUUACAUCAGUGCACAGUAACCUAUGGUGCCACACUGUAGUUGUCAGUGGCACAGCUUCGCUUUAGCACAACGCUCAAUGCAGGAGCGGACAGGCACAUGCAGAGGCAGCAAAAACGAGGUGUCCCGGCGUCCUUGUUUGAUUCACUUAGGCUCUGCGUGAGAGCUUGACAGCAUGCUGCCAGCUCGCUGGGCCCCGCGCUCCACUUCGGCCAUCUUGUCACUCUUCUACUCCACUGGUCAUAUCAGCGACCUGCGCCCAGUGUCCUUCGGGUUUGUUCGGUGCUGAGCACAAUAUUUCCCCAACGGACUGCCCUCGGCCACAGUGCCUCCCAGGGGAGCCAGACUCUCGGAUGAGGUUGGCCAGUUUUUCCAGUGUGGGCUGCAGUAAUAUGUUUCAGGUCGUCUUAGUCUCCACAACCCUACUGCUCCCUGUUGAUCUGAGCGAAAAAGCAUCUAAUCUCCCCGUGCAGAGUGAUCAUUUGACUGGAAGGUGUCCUGCUGACUUCCUCCUCUGUCUCUGGUGCUGCAUUGUCUUUUAACCGUGCAGUAUUUCUGCAUCUGUGCUUGUGCAGCAGAAACCUCCUGUCUAACAGGAGCAAAUGAUCACAACCCUUUACUUUGUUGGCGCACAGUACAGUAAAAAAACACAACUACAACAAACAGUACAGCUCCUCGGGCCAAAGUAGAGCGCUAUAAAACCUAAGCAAUUAGCUGGAAUAUGCUAAGAUGACCUGCACAGAGCAGAGCGGCUGCAGCUGGGCUAUGAUUCUCAAAUAGAAAUACUGUAGUGCAGUGUUGCGCGUAGGAAUGUUCUUCCCUCGAUAAAAGACACUGGGACCAGGACUUGGACGUCACAUUGGCCCCAAGCUGGGUUUUUUUCUGCAUCCCACAAAACCGUUAUUACUCUGGUUUAGGGUGAACAUAAUGCAGCUGGUGAUGGGAUGACGGGAGCCGGUGGAGGGGAAGGCAGCGCAACGCGGUGAUGACUGGGGCCUUGUCAGUAAUUCAGCAGAUCAGGUGACACUUCAAUAGUCGAGGCCAGAGUGUGGGGAAGAAUUUGAAAAUUGAGUUGACAACGCCAACGCUAAAGGCGUUAUGGUCGCUGCUAUUGGCCCUUAAAUGGCUGGUGAUUCUGUUGUUGAGUAAUGUGCUUGUGAUGUAUUGUCCUACGAAGCCACAAUAUUACGUCUUAUACGUAAAAGUUCUAACUGGAUAUAGUCUAAAUGUCAGCGCGCAGCUUGGCGUGUGUAGCGCGAUAAACGCUAACGUUGGGUUAAUUCUUAAAAAAACAUUUUUUUUUUACUCUUUAAGACGAUCAAAGAGCGAAAUUGCGCAAAGAUUAUAAACCAGCGGUGAUGCAAUAUGUUUUUCAGAGGUGUGAAUUUGCUGGGAAUUAAACAAAAGCAGCUGCGGCCUAGCGUUAGCGCUGCGCUAGACGCUGUCAACGUUCCUGGGCAAAGUGUUAUUUCUCACCCUCGCAGCUCCGUCUGAUUUAAAAUGGUUUGGAGGAACAGUCUCCAAAUCCGCCUUGAGCGGAUUACAGCCGAGGUUGGAAAAACUUGGGGCAAUUUCAUGUGCUCGCUAAAUUGCAUAGAUAUCAGUGAGUCAGAGGCACAUAAUGCUGUGAAGCUCCCUUUCUCUUUUUUUUCUGUGACUUUGUUGCCACCUUCUAAAACAUAGUCUCUAUAUAAAGUGUCGUUUGUUGCUAAUAGGAAAUGUGCAUGAAUUUAACACGCUGCUGUGUGUUUAUGCCUGAACCCCCCCCGUGCUGUGGCGACGGAGCUGUGCAGAGUCUGAGAAGGAAAGGUUUUCUAAAGGAAUUGCGUCAGCUUCUGAAGAAUGCUCUUCAUGCUCCCAAACUCGGCUCUUUAACACACAUUUCAGAGGAGGCCUGUCAGCUUAUGGCAUAUUAGCUGGAUGGGCCUGUUCCCCAUGGGACAUGAGAGGCUAGCUUGGAGGGAUCCCAGGGAAGAAAUGGAAGACGCGCGAUGUGAAAUCCUUUUCUCUGUCAUUCCAAUUCGGCACAAUAAAAAUCAAACGCGCCUCGGCCACAGUCCACAGCUUCACCUAGAGUUUUCCACAGCGCGGGAACCGCUCUCACUCACUAUCCAGCUGCUGUCUGCUUUCAUUUAGACAUAAUUAAACAAUGGACUCUAAUUGGGAAAUAAGCAUUUUUCUGCACAGCAGUCGCCCAUAAAUUGCAUUGUAUGUUAUUUUUUGUGUUAUUUUUAUCCUAAUAGUCUAAAUGUUUUCUAACUUUGGGUUGUUUUUUCUUCCUCCCUGUUUUCUCUCGGAGCUGCACAUUUCAGCAGAUGGAAGUACACAUUCAGCAAAAGGAUUCAUCCAGACCUCUCAGACUGACACCAGCAUCAUUACUGGAGCUGUGAAGGAAGGGAAGUGAAUUGGUCUAUCAGCCUUUCAACAACAGGCGAGAGUGAAUGGCAAGAGGAGCAGGGCCAGGGGUUGGGAAGAGGACCUGUCUGAGCCAUCACUACCUCCAUUCCUCAUGGCUACAUCUGCCAGAGCCUCCUCCCACCUGUCUGAUGUUGCUGAGAUUUAUGUGGCUGUAUAGGAGGAGGCCAAUCCAGUGUGCCAGGCCAUGUGUAGGCUUCCUUUUAUACUGACAGUUGUGUGUAUGAUACUGGAGCUGGCUUCCAGUGAGGCUUGGCCCAGUGGAUCUGGAAUCUGUCAUAAGUGAAAGCUUGAAAAGGUUAGGACAGUUCAGAGGAGAUAAAUGGUGAAUUGGGAGGACAGCUGAUGUAGGAACACAAACACUUCAAGACGAUUGAGUGGACUGAGGCCCCUCGACUCACUGCGGUGGGCUCCUCGUACCUGCUUCAACCGCUCCAGAUGUGGGGAAGCAUCCAGCGCGCUCCACUAACAGACGUUUCUGACCAUUUGCAUGAGCCACUCUAUUACGCUCAUCAAAACAAAUGAUAAAGAAUGGUUAUUGGGCAUUCCCAGUGUCCUCUGUAUAAUAAAGCUCGUUAACUGCGUUGUACAAAACAAAUGGGCAGAAUAAUCAGUAUACUUAUUGACAUUGUGUCAUUUCUAGUUAGAGCAGGAAGAGAACUCUCACUGUGACUUGGGGCUUUGCUUUCUAUCUCUCAAGAGGAAGGGAGCUAAUGGCUUCUGAAAGCAGGGAUCGAAGGAACUCAUAAGCUCGGCGCGAUGAGACGAGCGGAGGAAGAGCGUUAUUAAUCCUCCUUCAUCUGAAUACAGACACUCUGUGCUGAGACCAGUGGCUGUGCACUCACUAACUGGAGAGGAGGAUGUCUGUAGUUUAUAUAGUUUAAGUUCUAGAAUCAGAAUUUAAGUUACAUACAUUUACAGAAUGUGUUUUUUUUCUACAGGAGACAGUUUAUUUAAAAAAACGGCUGCAAAUAAAUUUACUUGUUACUUUUUAUUGUUGAAUAAAGACAUUCAGCUGAAACAACCCAACAAUCAUUAAUUUAAAACAUCAUCAUCAUCAUCACUUCCACUGUUUAUCCUCUCAAUACCUGGAGCUUGAUCACCAUCUCAGAGUCUUGAACUUGGCCUCUGCUGCUUUGAAUACGACCCACGUUUCGCCCCCUGCUGUUUUUAUUUACUGUAAACCAUAAAUAAGAGCGUUCGCGUGCACUGUACGCGGCCUCGUGCGUCACAUCUGCUCCUCUCUGCUUAUUAAGACAUGAUUGACAGCUGUCGCGCCUCCAUCGCCGCGGACCGAGCUUUGUCAGGAAGCAGCUCGUGGACUGAGGACGCGCAGGUUUUCGCAGCCGACAGGCGGCUUACUGUACGGCUGCUGAGUGCACGGGGAGGCUUCACCUACAGGAGAGUGAUGCCUGUAAUCAGCCUUUGCAGAUGAAAUUACGUCUGUAUUAAUUUAAAUUACCUUCUGUCACUGUACACACACUGGGCUGUGUCUAGAGGCUUUUUCUUCUAUUAUUUGUAUGCAUUGCAUCUGUAUUGCGGCGUUUGAUCGCGGUUUUAUUGCUGCGAAUGCAAUGUAGCAUGAACAUAGUAAUGAUUAUUAACUCCAGCUACAUUAUUGGCAAAGGAGAUAACACAUACAAACCUGUAAUUUGUUCCUGCAUCAAGCUGGUUUUUAAUGAUCUACACUUUAUAAUUUAUUUACAGGUCCAUCUCUCACCGCUCGGCUCCGUUAGGUGUUUAUCAUCAUUUGUCAUCUGCAUCAAUCUGCCCGCCUGUAAAGAACCGUGCUGGGAGACUGAGCCUCUGCCGUUGACGCUGCUUUUGUGCCGCCGCCUUAACAACCCAAUCAACUCGGGCCUCUCUCGCUCCCCUCGUCAAUGCAAACUUCAUAAUGUAUGAUAGAGCCGUGAUUUAUAAUCCAUGCUCAAAAUUAAACAGCAUAAAUUACUCUUAUUUACUCUGCAGGUGAUAAAGAUCCCGUCAAAUAAUGUCACAUGAGCAUAAUUUUUAUAGAACAAAUGAAAUUUGUUAUGGGGGAAAAAAAACGGGUCAAGUUCAUCAAUUAAAAGUCGGCUCUUUUUUUUCUGCCUUCACUGUAAAUGGCCCGGUGCUACUUAAAAUGAUUGAUUUUAUUAUUUCUUAAUUUAUUAAAGUACUACAUGAGGCUAUAGCGUGAGCAAUCAGGACAACAGCAACUGACUCAGCAUCAACGCCUAGCGGCGCUUUGCAUUUCAGCGAGCUCCGACCGCAUCCAUUGGAAUCAACACUUCCUGUGACCUUUGGACCAACAUUUGGGAAACGACGGGUUAUGAGCUAAAAAAAAGAAGAAACAGUUUAAAGGAAAUAUUCUUGAAGCGCAGAUGUUAACUGCUUUCACAUCUGUCAAACCUUUGGGAAAUGACUUUGUGAAUAAUGUAUACAUGAGAGGGAAGUGGGACAAUUUCAAUAAACGUCUUGUCACCAACUUAAAUGAAGACAUAAAUGAAUAAAAUCAAUUCCCUUUUGCAACGAGUGUUAAUCGUUUGUUAUUUUUUUGCAUCCGUACCCGGAAGUGACCCGCUGUCGACGAUCAAGAGCCCGAAGGGUUAAAAUCGGUGCUGCUCGGAGUGCACCCCCUCCCCCCAACAAAAGAAAUGAGGU